rnacentral:rRNA from 1 species
UACAGAGGUCCCGAGCGUUGUUCGGACUCACUGGGCGUAAAGGGUGCGUAGGUGGUGCGGUAAGUCGGAUGUGAAAUCUCCAAGCUCAACUUGGAAAUGGCAUUGGAAACUACCUUGCUGGAGGUUUGGAGGGGGGACUGGAAUUCUCGGUGUAGCAGUGAAAUGCGUAGAUAUCGAGAGGAACACCAGUGGCGAAGGCGAGUCCCUGGACAAAACCUGACACUGAGGCACGAAAGCUAGGGGAGCAAACAGG